AUUGAACGCUGGCGGCAUGCUUUACACAUGCAAGUCGAACGGUAACAGGGUGCUUGCACCGCUGACGAGUGGCGAACGGGUGAGUAAUGCGUCGGAACGUGCCGAGUAGUGGGGGAUAACGCAGCGAAAGUUGUGCUAAUACCGCAUACGUACUGAGGUAGAAAGUGGGGGACCUUCGGGCCUCACGCUAUUCGAGCGGCCGACGUCUGAUUAGCUAGUAGGUGAGGUAAAGGCUCACCUAGGCGACGAUCAGUAGCGGGUCUGAGAGGAUGAUCCGCCACAAGGGGACUGAGACACGGCCCAGACUCCUACAGGAGGCAGCAGUGGGGAAUUUUGGACAAUGGGCGAAAGCCUGAUCCAGCCAUGCCGCGUGUCUGAAGAAGGCCUUCGGGUUGUAAAGGACUUUUGUCAGGGAGGAAAUCCCUAGCGUUAAUACCGCUGGGGGAUGACAGUACCUGAAGAAUAAGCACCGGCUAACUACGUGCCAGCAGCCGCGGUAACAC
rnacentral:rRNA from 1 species